rnacentral:misc_RNA from 1 species
UUAACUAUUACAUAGUACUCGGACGACACUGAUGGAAGGGGUUUUGGGUCCUCUGGCGGGCGCUCACCAGCCGAGGCCGGUGGCCGGGCGUGGGCCUGACGGCCCGCCAAAGCAACAAAGUGGUAAUAACACAGGGUGGGAGAUCUACCCGCGAGGGCAUGAACUCUGUAAUGAUCCCUCCGCAGGUUCACCUACGGAGA